CGCCUUCUCCUUGCUUCUGGGGGUCGUGGCCUUGCUCCCGCUGUGCGGGAAAAGAAUCCAGGCCCUUCCACGCGCGUGUGGGUGCGGGGGCCCCGAAGUGCUCGUGGUUCCCCGCUAGGUCUCCGCUGGGGCAGGAACCGGAAUCAUGGGUGGGACCACCAGCACCCGCCGGGUCACCUUCGAGGCGGACGAGAAUGAGAACAUCACCGUGGUGAAGGGCAUCCGGGGUGUCAGUAUACCAGCACUAACUUCAUUAACACACUCUCCGCUGCGCCUGAAUUUGGAGCCUCACAUUUUUGGACGUAUGAUGCCUGAACCUAGUAAAUAAAGCAAUUUUGACUUCAGAAAGUUUUAUAAUAAUUUAUAUAUUUUUUUCUGUUAUCAACCAGCGUAAAUAAAUUACAUUUGUAAAUUAUUUUUAACAGUUGUUACCAGGAAAUAAAACUUCUUAAAUAUUUAAAAUGUUUAAAAACUUUUUCUUCUGAAACUGUUACCUUGAGAAUAAUUUAUUAAACUUUUCUUCAUAGAAACUCAGACUGUCGAACUCAGUUUUUGGUCUGUGACCAGUAUUUCUUUAUAUCAUGCUAAUUAAUGGUAGUACUACAUUUUGUA
rnacentral:lncRNA from 1 species